UGAACCUCUAGGUGCAGUUAUCGUGUGAUACAGUACUACUAUCGUGGAUCCCUACAGGACGGAGGUCAUGGACAGCUCGUCAAAUCCCAUCGUUUGUCAUAUGUGAGGAUUUAUUUGACUCGAGUUCGAUAGUGGAAAAACUCUUUCUCCACUUUAUAUUACUGCCCUGGCCAAGGUCUUAGAACUCAGUCUAACAAAUCACAUAGGAUCACUCCUCUUCUAUCAAGGUCGAUAGAU
rnacentral:lncRNA from 1 species